UACGGGGGGGGUAAGCGUUGUUCGGAAUUAUUGGGCGUAAAGGGCUCGUAGGCGGUUUGUCGCGUCGGGAGUGAAAACCAGGUGCUUAACACCUGGCUUGCUUUCGAUACGGGCAGACUAGAGGUAUGCAGGGGAGAACGGAAUUCCUGGUGUAGCGGUGAAAUGCGCAGAUAUCAGGAGGAACACCGGUGGCGAAGGCGGGUCUCUGGGCAGUAACUGACGCUGAGGAGCGAAAGCGUGGGGAGCGAACAGG
rnacentral:rRNA from 1 species